GGGGGGGGGGGGGGGGGGGGGGGGGGCGGGCGGGGGGGGCGGGGGGAGGAGGGGCUUGCUCCUCUGACGUUGGCGGCGGGCGGGUGAGUAACACGUGGGUAACCUACCUAUACGACUGGGAUAACUUCGGGCAACCUGAGCUAAUCCCGGGUAAUAUAUGGAAACGCAUGGUUCAAUAGUGAAAGACGGUUCUGCUGUCACUUAUAGCUGGAUCCGCGCCGCAUUCGCUCGUUGGUAAGGUAACGGCUUACCAAGGCAACGAUGCGUAGCCGACCUGAGAGGGUGAUCGGCCACAAUGGAACUGAGCAACGGUCCAGACUCCUACGGGAGGCAGCAGUAGGGAAUCUUCAGCAAUGGGCGAAAGCCUGACGGAGCAACGCCGCGUGAGUGAUGAAGGUCUUCGGAUCGUAAAACUCUGUUAUUAGGGAAGAACAAAUGUGUAAGUAACUAUGCACGUCUUGACGGUACCUAAUCAGAAAGCCACGGCUAACUACGUG
rnacentral:rRNA from 1 species